AAUGAAUUAGCAGAUCCUUUUUGUAAUCGGUUCCACUCGACGUGAUAAGUAUUUCGCCGAGGACAUACGCAAGUAUGGCCGAGAUAAAGGAAGUCUUUAGAUCCGCUUCUAAUUCUUAGAUAGAGCUUGCUCUACUAAACCCCAUUUUAUGAUCUGGCCUCAAAUCAGGUAGGACUACCCGCUGAACUUAAGCAUAUCAAUAAGCGGAGGAAAAGAAACUAACAAGGAUUCCCCUAGUAACGGCGAGUGAAGCGGGAUGAGCUCAAAUUUAAAAUCUGGCGGCCUCAGGUCGUCCGAGUUGUAGUCUAGAGAAUCGUUUUCCGCGUUGGCCUGUGUACAAGUCCCUUGGAACAGGGCGUCAUAGAGGGUGAGAAUCCCGUCCUUGACACAGAUUACCAAUGCUUUGUGAUGCGAUCUCGAAGAGUCGAGUUGUUUGGGAAUGCAGCUCAAAAUGGGUGGUAAAUUCCAUCUAAAGCUAAAUAUUGGCGAGAGACCGAUAGCGAACAAGUACCGUGAGGGAAAGAUGAAAAGCACUUUGGAAAGAGAGUUAAACAGUACGUGAAAUUGUUAAAAGGGAAACGAUUGAAGUCAGUCAUGCUUUCCGAGACUCAGCCGAUUCUGUCGGUGUACUUCUCGGUUGGCAGGCCAGCAUCAGUUUCGAUCUGUGGAAAAGGUUGGAGGGAACGUGGCAUCUCCGGAUGUGUUAUAGCCCUUCUUCGAAUACAUAGAGCGGGACUGAGGAACGCAGCGCGCCUUUUAUUAGGUUGGCCCUCGGGUACAUAC
rnacentral:rRNA from 1 species